rnacentral:rRNA from 1 species
UGGGGAAUUUUGGACAAUGGGCGCAAGCCUGAUCCAGCCAUGCCGCGUGCGGGAAGAAGGCCUUCGGGUUGUAAACCGCUUUUGUCAGGGAAGAAAUCUUCUGAGUUAAUACCUCGGGAGGAUGACGGUACCUGAAGAAUAAGCACCGGCUAACUACGUGCCAGCAGCCGCGGUAAUACGUAGGGUGCAAGCGUUAAUCGGAAUUACUGGGCGUAAAGCGUGCGCAGGCGGUUUUGUAAGACAGAGGUGAAAUCCCCGGGCUCAACCUGGGAACUGCCUUUGUGACUGCAAGGCUUGAGUGCGGCAGAGGGGGAUGGAAUUCCGCGUGUAGCAGUGAAAUGCGUAGAUAUGCGGAGGAACACCGAUGGCGAAGGCAAUCCCCUGGGCCUGCACUGACGCUCAUGCACGAAAGCGUGGGGAGCAAACAGGAUUAGAUACCCUGGUAGUCCACGCCCUAAAACGAUGUCAACUGGUUGUUGGGAAGGUUCCUUCUCAGUAACGUAGCUAACGCGUGAAGUUGACCGCCUGGGGAGUACGGCCGCAAGGUUGAAACUCAAAUGAAUUGAC